rnacentral:rRNA from 1 species
UACGGAGGGGGCAAGCGUUGUUCGGAAUUACUGGGCGUAAAGGGCGCGUAGGCGGCCCGCUAAGUCGAACGUGAAAUCCCCGGGCUCAACCCGGGAACUGCGUCCGAUACUGGUGGGCUUGAAUCCGGGAGAGGGAUGCGGAAUUCCAGGUGUAGCGGUGGAAUGCGUAGAGAUCGGGAAGAACAUCGGUGGCGAAGGCGGCCAGCUGGGCCAUUGCUGACGCUGAUGCGCGACAGCGUGGGGAGCAAACAGG